rnacentral:rRNA from 2 species
CUUUGGGGUGUGACUGCGUACCUUUUGUAUAAUGGGUCAGCGACUUAUAUUCUGUAGCAAGGUUAACCGUAUAGGGGAGCCGGAGGGAAACCGAGUCUUAACCGGGCGUUAAGUUGCAGGGUAUAGACCCGAAACCCGGUGAUCUAGCCAUGGGCAGGUUGAAGGUUGGGUAACACUAACUGGAGGACCGAACCGACUAAUGUUGAAAAAUUAGCGGAUGACCUGUGGCUGGGGGUGAAAGGCCAAUCAAACCGGGAGAUAGCUGGUUCUCCCCGAAAGCUAUUUAGGUAGCGCCUCGUGAAUUCAUCUCCGGGGGUAGAGCACUGUUUCGGCUAGGGGGCCAUCCCGGCUUACCAACCCGAUGCAAACUGCGAAUACCGGAGAAUGUUAUCACGGGAGACACACGGCGGGUGCUAACGUCCGUCGUGAAGAGGGAAACAACCCAGACCGCCAGCUAAGGUCCCAAAGUCAUGGUUAAGUGGGAAACGAUGUGGGAAGGCCCAGACAGCCAGGAUGUUGGCUUAGAAGCAGCCAUCAUUUAAAGAAAGCGUAAUAGCUCACUGGUCGAGUCGGCCUGCGCGGAAGAUGUAACGGGGCUAAACCAUGCACCGAAGCUGCGGCAGCGACGCUGAUGCGUUGUUGGGUAGGGGAGCGUUCUGUAAGCCUGCGAAGGUGGCCUGUGAGGGUUGCUGGAGGUAUCAGAAGUGCGAAUGCUGACAUAAGUAACGAUAAAGCGGGUGAAAAGCCCGCUCGCCGGAAGACCAAGGGUUCCUGUCCAACGUUAAUCGGGGCAGGGUGAGUCGACCCCUAAGGCGAGGCCGAAAGGCGUAGUCGAUGGGAAACGGGUUAAUAUUCCCGUACUUGGUGUUACUGCGAAGGGGGGACGGAGAAGGCUAUGUUGGCCGGGCGACGGUU